UCGAUGGUUUCGGAGGAGAAAAUAACACAAAAAAACGAGCCGAAAGCGUAAGACGCCUCGAAAAGCUCGGCGCUCAACCUCCCCCCACCUCCCCCCAAAUGCGGAGGAGGAAGAAGAAGCCCUAACCCUAACCCUAACCCUAACCCUAACUUUAAUCCUAAUCCUAGCCCCGAUCUUCCCCUCUCAGCCACCAAUGGCGACCUCGGCGGCGGACCACGGCCGCCGGAAACCCGGCCACCACCUCCCCGCGAUCCGCCCCACCUGGUGCUGCUCCUUCGGCGUCGACCUACACAGCACCGAGCUCCGCCCCGCCGGAGCUCCCCACCGCCCGAAGCCCCCCUCCGCCGCCGCAGCAUCCUCCCAUGGUGGCUCCCCAUCCCCCGGCAGCAAGAUCGGCCUCGGCCUCAUCGCCUCCCGGCGAAUGCUCUCGCCCGGGAGGGUCUCCCCGAUCGACUCUGAACCCCCUGUCGUCGAGUUCGAUUCGGAGCCGCUAGAUCCGUCGGCGAAGGAGAGGAGGCUCUCGUCCGUGGCCGAGUCGAAGGAUGGGGCUUCGUCUAGGGAGAAGGUGACGGAUGUGAAGAUGAGGUUGAUGGGGAGGGACGGGGAUUGCUUGGUGUUGGAGCUGGAUGCGCAGGUGCUAUGCAAACACAGCUCCGUCUUCGCAAGGAUGGUGGCGGGAUCUCGGAAGAAGGUUUCUGAUGGUGAGGCGCACAGUCCGAUGAUAGAGGUUUCUGGUUUGCGGGAUUUUAGGGUAUUCAAGGAUACGAUCGAGUUGAUGUACGAGAAGGACGCUAUGAAAUGGUUAAUGAACGCAGGAGUCAGCCGAGCAAUUGAGAUACUUGAGGUAUCCUUCUCCAUUAUGUUUGACAGAGGAGCUACCACAUGUCUGAAGUAUCUCGGCGCUGUCCCGUGGAAUGAGAGUGAGGAGGAGAAGCUACAAAGUUUAUUUGCAAGGUGUACUUUCGAUGAAGCAGUGUCUCAGGAUAUACUAGCUAGGUUAUACCCACAAGAGCCCACACUCUCCGGUGAUCUCGCAUUAAAACUCAUACAGUCCAUUUCAAACGGGACUAAUAAUAAUGCCAGGAAGGAGCUGCAGUCUCUUGUCAACGGCAUCUUAUCCACAAGCUCUAUCUAUCAAAAGGACACCGCUGGAUUAAACAAAGAGAGUGUUUACAAUAUUUGCUAUUCUUGUUUAAAUUCUCUUGUUGAGCUAUUCAAAGAAGCCUCAGGUAAAAUUACCAUGGAUCAAAAAGCAGCAGUUAAAGAGGAGAAGCCAUUGGUCGAGAGAAUCGCUAGGCAAGUUGAAAACUUAAACUGGCAGCUAGGGUUGCUUAUAGACAAGCAGAUGGCAGAUGAUUUUGUGGGUUUGUGGGCCAACCAGAAGGAGCUUGUUAAGAUGCAUGAAAGAGCUUCUCCAUUGGUCCGGUAUGAGUUAAGCCGGAUCUCGGCUACUCUAUUCAUGGGUAUGGGAAGUGGGAAGCUGCAUUGUAAUGGAGAGAAAAGAUUGAGCAUGUUCGACGCGUGGUUUAGGCCUUUGUUGAAAGAUUUCAGUUGGUUGAGAAGGUGCCCAAAAGGGUUGGAUAUGAGGGUGUUGGAGGAAACCCUAGGUCAGGCUCUCCUCACGCUCACAUUAAAGGAACAGCACAGCUUGUUCAUGGUGUGGUUCGAGGUAUUUAGUGGGCAAGGGAAAGAGUGCCCUAACCUGAGCAACGCAUUCCAGGUUUGGUGGCGGAGAUCGUUUUCGAGAGCAGCAGAUCAUAGCUAGAUUUCGGCCAUCAUUUAUCUGGACAUUUGCUGUUCAAUGUGAGUGGUUGGAUUAUGUUGGUUGCGCUGCUCCUUGUAUAGGUACUAAUGGGCUCCGAUCAGAUCAUCUCGACCCUGCAUGUCACAGGUUUCUACAAUGGUGGAGUUUUUACUUUUUAAUGAGUGGAUUAUAAAAGCUUCUAGAAGGCAUAAUGUGACCUCUUUGUGGACAAAAAGAGUUUGUUAUGGAAUCGGUUCAGACGUCAUCUCGGUGAUACCGGUGGCUACCAACCUCUCCUAUGAUUGGCUCUCCUCAUAUCACACGGAUAUGCAAGUAAAAGCUUUCUGAAUUUUGUUGAUGCAGGUGCCAAAUAACUCCCCCAGUUACUAACACAAACUAGCCUAAAAGCAACGCCAAUUUUAAUUAUAUGAUCCGCAAUUAUCACUAUUGACUACUUACAUGGUGAGCAAUAACUCUUCUUCAUCACUGAAUAGAGCAGUUGAUUAUUUUCAUUUAGAAAAACUAAUUUA